CCUACGGGUGGCAGCAGUGAGGAAUAUUGGUCAAUGGACGAGAGCCUGAACCAGCCAAGUAGCGUGAAGGAUGACUGCCCUACGGGUUGUAAACUUCUUUUAUAAAGGAAUAAAGUGAUGCACGUGUGCCUUUUUGUAUGUACUAUAUGAAUAAGGAUCGGCUAACUCCGUGCCAGCAGCCGCGGUAAUACGGAGGAUCCGAGCGUUAUCCGGAUUUAUUGGGUUUAAAGGGAGCGUAGAUGGGUUGUUAAGUCAGUUGUGAAAGUUUGCGGCUCAACCGUAAAAUUGCAGUUGAUACUGGCAGCCUUGAGUACAGUUGAGGUAGGCGGAAUUCGUGGUGUAGCGGUGAAAUGCUUAGAUAUCACGAAGAACUCCGAUUGCGAAGGCAGCUUACUAAACUGCCACUGACACUGAUGCUCGAAAGUGUGGGUAUCAAACAGGAUUAGAUACCCGUGUAGUC
rnacentral:rRNA from 1 species